rnacentral:misc_RNA from 1 species
GUCAGUUUAUGGGGAAGCACUUUCAUCUCGUUGUACUCCUCUUGUUAAGAUGAUACAGGUAAUUCAUGAUGAAAUGCUCUUGGAAGAGAUUGAGAGUGUCAAAGGUUCUGAAAGUGAUCAGAUUCCUCUACCUCUUCAGCAUCUCCAAAAUUUUAUCCAAGAACUGAAUUCUGAGACAACUUUAAACAGCACAAAUUCAUUGCUGGAGACUGUUAUUACUUCUUGCAUGAGA